rnacentral:rRNA from 1 species
UGGGGAAUCUUGCGCAAUGGCCGCAAGGCUGACGCAGCGACGCCGCGUGGGGGAGGAAGGGCUUCGGCUCGUAAACCCCUGUUGCCCGGGACGAACAAGCGGUUUGGGCCGCUCUGACGGUACCGGGUGAGGAAGCACCGGCUAACUCCGUGCCAGCAGCCGCGGUAAUACGGAGGGUGCGAGCGUUGUCCGGAAUCACUGGGCGUAAAGGGCGCGUAGGCGGCUCGGUAAGCGUGCGGUGAAAGCCCGGGGCUCAACCCCGGGUCGGCCGUGCGAACUGUCGAGCUGGAGCACUGUAGAGGCGGGUGGAAUUCCGGGUGUAGCGGUGGAAUGCGUAGAGAUCCGGAAGAACACCGGUGGCGAAGGCGGCCCGCUGGGCAGUGGCUGACGCUGAUGCGCGACAGCGUGGGGAGCAAACAGGAUUAGAUACCCCGGUAGUCC